rnacentral:rRNA from 1 species
AACGAACGCUGGCGGCAGGCCUAACACAUGCAAGUCGAACGAGACCUUCGGGUCUAGUGGCGCACGGGUGCGUAACGCGUGGGAACCUGCCCUUAGGUUCGGAAUAACUCCCCGAAAGGGGUGCUAAUACCGGAUAAUGUCUUCGGACCAAAGAUUUAUCGCCUUUGGAUGGGCCCGCGUUGGAUUAGCUAGUUGGUAGGGUAAAAGCCUACCAAGGCGACGAUCCAUAGCUGGUCUGAGAGGAUGAUCAGCCACACUGGGACUGAGACACGGCCCAGACUCCUACGGGAGGCAGCAGUGGGGAAUAUUGGACAAUGGGCGAAAGCCUGAUCCAGCAAAGCCGCGUGAGUGAUGAAGGCCUUAGGGUUGUAAAGCUCUUUUACCCGGGAUGAUAAUGACAGUACCGGGAGAAUAAGCUCCGGCUAACUCCGUG